rnacentral:lncRNA from 1 species
GCUGCUUCAGGGCCGCCACCUGGCGGUGCUUCCGUACGCGCCCUCCUUUCCCUCGUUCGACGAGAACGUGCCACGCGGCUCAUGAACCAAGGAGGCCUCGGCAACCACGCCUCUUCGAUGCUGAGCCAACUGUUCGUACACAGCUCAUCCAGACGGUGGUCGGCGACCACUUCACGAGGACCACGAAGCAGCAGUGCCCGCCGAGGCCCAGACCCGCGUCGAGGGCUCCAGCCGAGGCCCUGUGCCAAGACGCGACGGCUGAGGAACGCCGGGAACUAUGCGGAUAGCGCUCAAGGAGAAGACAUGUGGUAGACUGCAUACAAGGCGCAAACCGCCCCACUGACACGGGAUGACACUGCCUUGAUAAUAAAGGAACAAAUAAAGAGGGAACACUCAGUCAAA